rnacentral:tRNA from 1 species
UGUGCUUUAGGAGGGUAUUCAAGUGAACCUAGCAAGAUCGCUCGGGAUAUCGCUCAAACGGUAACUAGUUCUAAUCCUGCAAGUAUUA